rnacentral:lncRNA from 1 species
AUUGCUUUUAAAAACUAGGAUUGUUGCUUAUUGAAAGUUGCUUGCCUUUGUUCUUGAUUACUUGAUGAUGUAUGCCAAUUGGCUUUGAAUUGCUAUAGUUUGAUGCUUUUUGCAGACUUGGUGCAGGUGUGGAAAGAUUAGUCUCCGUUGGUUUGUUGCGAUGGAAAGUUGAGACCACUUAGUGCUCGAUUUUGCUGCUAAUUGUUGCCUUCUUUGCUAAAUUGCUAAUUGGCUUCUAUUUUGGCCUCUUUAUUUGCUUCUCUGCACGUUGGUGUUGGAAUUUGAUGAUUGCCUCUUGAUUCUUGAUUCCCUAUUUUUUUUAUUAUGGUUGGAGUUUGUAUUGGCUGCUAGGUGUGGGUGUUUUCGGGUUUGAUGGCUGAAACUAGGUAGUUCACAAUGGCAUCAG